GGGGGACAACCCGCCGAAAGGCGGGCUAAACCCGCGUACAUGCCACCGGGGCAUCCCGGAGGCAGGAAAGGCUUCGGCCGGACAGGGAUGGGCAUGCGGCGCAUUAGGCAGUAGGCGGGGUAACGGCCCACCUAACCGACGAUGCGUAGGGGUUCUGAGAGGAAGGUCCCCCACACUGGUACUGAGACACGGACCAGACUCCUACGGGAGGCAGCAGUGAGGAAUAUUGGUCAAUGGUCGGGAGACUGAACCAGCCAAGCCGCGUGAGGGAUGAAGGUACAGAGUAUCGUAAACCUCUUUUGUCAGGGAACAAAGGCGGGGACGUGUCCCCGGAUGAGUGUACCUGAAGAAAAAGCAUCGGCUAACUCCGUGCCAGCAGCCGCGGUAAUACGGAGGAUGCGAGCGUUAUCCGGAUUUAUUGGGUUUAAAGGGUGCGCAGGCGGUCUGUUAAGUCAGCGGUCAAAGCCCGGGGCUCAACCCCGGCCCGCCGUUGAAACUGGCAGUCUCGAGUUGGAGAGAAGUAUGCGGGAUGCGCGGUGUAGCGGUGAAAUGCAUAGAUAUCGCGCAGAACUCCGAUUGCGAAGGCAGCAUGCCGGCUCCACACUGACGCUGAGGCACGAAAGCGUGGGUAUCGAACAGGAUUAGAUACCCUGGUAGUCCACGCAGUAAAC
rnacentral:rRNA from 1 species